AUCUAGCUGAUAAGUCCUAAAUAGGAUGCAAUGUACGUCCUGGAU
rnacentral:hammerhead_ribozyme from 1 species